rnacentral:misc_RNA from 1 species
AGGUUUAGUUGAGUUGAGUUAAGUAUUGUCUGUAUAUUUCAGUGAUUGCAUGUGUCUGUCUGCAUGGUCUUGUUUUUCCUUGAUACUUCCCAUUUGCUACUGAACUUUUCCCUGGCUUAAAGUGAGCAAUUUCGUGUGCACUUCUGUUUCAUGAUUGCUUCAUGCUUCUUGGAGUCCAUUCACUUGGUCAAUCUUUCAGUGUCAGUGUUUGACUGAAUUUGGGUAGUUUUUCUGGGAUAAAAUGCUGGAAUAAUGAUUGUUGCAAAUUGCAAUGGAUUCCCUGUUUGUUAAUGGUUUCUUAAGUUCGUGAAGGGUUACCACAUUUUGUGUUGUUUUCCAUAACCAAUUUGGAAAAAUUAUGUGGAUUGUGCCCAUUUAUGUGCUCAUUAGGUUGCCGUGUAUAUUACUGGGGUGGUGUGCCCACUUGAAGAUGUUAGGAAACUAUAGCUUCACUGUAACCUAGAGAGAGAUUUUUAAUUUACUAAUGCCGUUUUUGGGAGAAGGGAGGAAAGGGAGGAGGAAAGAAAAUUGAAGGGCUGACAUCUUAAGAUCUAAAUUUGUGAGCUCCACAACUCAUUUUCUCUCCUCCCCUUUCCCCUUACCAAACACAGCAUAAAUGGUUUUCUCAAAAUGUGAGUGAUACGAGUCGACGGAUUUCUUCUUUUGAACUAUGGAUAUGUAUACCUUCUAACUGGGAACCUCCUUUAUAUACAUGUCAGUAGUCAUAUCUAAAUUGAAUUAGAGUGCAGAUUUUUUAUUGGGAAAAGAUUAUUUGUUUUGUGAUAAUGCCUGCAGGAUCAUCUAUCUUGAUGAAUUGAUAAUCCCCAAUUAAGUGGUGCGACAACCUUUGUGGUUCAGUUCAAUGAUACAUAUUCUGAGUUACUGUAGAUAUAUUUUCAAAGUGAAUACUAUAGAUACAUUUUCAAGUAGCGUAUUGUGAAUCUUUGAAAAAAUGGUUAAUAAAUCAACAUGUUGCAGAACUCUUGAAUGCAUCAUGUCCAGAUGUGCAUGAGACUUGAGAGUCUUCAUAAGAUGCUUCUUCCUCUGAUGUUCCUUAUUCAGUUCCCUCUUAAAAAAAAAAGAAUAAAAUUUCUAUUUAGGAUGAUUUCUUUUGAUUUUCAUCCAAUUAUUACUGUAAAGGCUAGUUAGGUCUACUCUUGGGGUAAUAUUUUGAUAUCUUUCCUUAUCCACAUGAAUUCACUCGCAUAUAAUAAAAGGGGAAAAGCAUAUGUAUCCUUUGAAUCAUGGUAAUUGGUUUCUGCCCUUCUCUUUGCUCUGCACCAUGAUGUAAUAGCUCACACUCCUGUUAUGUAAUUGUGUAUGAAAUCCUUAUUGCUGAACUUUAAAUAUGAUAAUUCCUAUCAAAAUAAUGAUCUCAUUUCUGAUUCUGAAUAUAUUACAGGUGAUGUAGGUGCUCUAGGUUGGUGGGACUUGUUCAUAAAUUUUGGUAUUGCAGAGUGCUUUGCGUUUCUUGUUUGUACAAAAUGGUCAAAUCCAGUGAUUCAUCGAAAUUCCCAGACAACAGAAGUUAGUUCAUCUUCUACAACUAUUAGGUAUCUGGACUGGAACAGUGGCAUAGUAGUUUCUCCAGAGGAGAAUCAACUUCAGGAUAGAAUGUGUGGCCUGCAAGACAUUGGUGGCCAUAUCAUGAAAAUUCCAUUAAUUGCUUUUCAAGUCCUCCUUUGUAUGCAUUUAGAGGGAACACCUGCUGGUGCAAAAAAUAUCCCACUUCCAAUUCUUUUCUCUCCCCUUUUCAUACUUCAAGGUGCUGGUGUGCUAUUUGCUGCAUCCAAGUUGGUGGAGAAGCUUAUUCUUUUACUAAGAAGUGAAUCUAGCUCGGGAAUAUAUUUUAGAUUUUCUUCACGGGCUCAUGACUGCUUGGGGUUCUUGCACCAUGGUUCUAGGCUACUGGGUUGGUGGUCAAUUGAUGAGGGAAGUCGAGAGGAAAAGGCCCGACUUUACCACGAGGGAGCCUCUGGCUACAACACUUUUUGUGGUUAUCCUCCUGAGAUAGUGAAGAAAAUGCCUAAAAAGGAUCUCGCCGAGGAGGUCUGGAGGCUUCAAGCUGCCCUUGGUGAACAGACAGAAAUCACCAAAUAUAGCCAGCAGGCGUUUGAAAGACUUCAAAAUGAAAAAGUCUUAUGUAGGGUUUGCUUCGAGGGAGAGAUCAGCGUGGUUCUACUUCCCUGUAGACAUCGCAUCCUUUGCAGUGCCUGCUGUGAAAAGUGUAAGAAGUGUCCAAUUUGUCGAAUCUGUAUUGAGGAGCGCUUGCCGGUGUAUGAUGUUUAGGUUCUAACUUGUCCAGCCCUUUUUGUAUUAUGGAUAAGAAAGCAUAGAGAAGGUGAAAUAACUUUUAACAGGGAAGUUCUCUUUUUAUGGUUAUCUGGGACUUCUACGACAAUGUUUGUUCAAAUUGACACGAGAAAGCAUGAGGAUAUACAGAGAACACACUUGCUGUACUUAUAUCUCAACACCUCUUUUUGUGUUCCAGCAAGAAACUGUAAAUAAUUCUGAGUUUGAUCAGUGUAUUGUUCAAGUCCUGAGCUUUUGUUAUGCUACAGAGAUCACUAGAAAGGUAAGAGCUGUAUAUUAUACUAACUGUAUAGACAUGACUGUUGAAUUUGAGGUGCAUAAUUUCAGAGCUUGUGCUUUAUGGUGGGUGCAACAAUACGUUAGUAUCACUCUGUAUGCAUUGAAGAUCAUUUUUUCAGGUAUGGCUUGGUAUUUUCAUAUCCUGGAAAGACAUGAAUUUUUCUGAAAGUGUAUUUUGUUUUUGUAUUUGUUGCCCUUCAUGUUCUCCGCCAUGGUACGGUUCGAGUUGGAACUGGCCUGGUCAUUAGAUUAGAACCAGAGCUUCAUGGGUUUGAAUCAUAUUGAAACAAUUUCCCUCCCUUGAAUUGGACUGGAAUUGGACGAGGCUGUUUUCUUCUGGUUCGGACGUAAUCGACA